AUCCAGCUGAUGAGUCCUAAAUAAGACGAAACGCGCGUCCUGGAU
rnacentral:hammerhead_ribozyme from 1 species